rnacentral:rRNA from 1 species
AUUGAACGCUGGCGGCAGGCUUAACACAUGCAAGUCGAGCGGGGGAAGGUAGCUUGCUACUGGACCUAGCGGCGGACGGGUGAGUAAUGCUUAGGAAUCUGCCUAUUAGUGGGGGACAACAUCUCGAAAGGGAUGCUAAUACCGCAUACGUCCUACGGGAGAAAGCAGGGGAUCUUCGGACCUUGCGCUAAUAGAUGAGCCUAAGUCGGAUUAGCUAGUUGGUGGGGUAAAGGCCUACCAAGGCGACGAUCUGUAGCGGGGCUGAGAGGAUGAUCAGCCACAGUGGGACUGAGACACGGCCCAGACUCCUACGGGAGGCAGCAGUGGGGAAUAGUGGACAAUGGGGGGAACCCUGAUCCAGCCAUGCCGCGUGUUUGAAGAAGGCCUGAUGGUUGCAAAGCACUAUAAGCGAGGAGGAGGCUCUUUUGGUUAAAACCGAAUAUGAGUGGACGUUACUCGCAGAAUAAGCACCGGCUAACUCUGUGCCAGCAGCCGCCGUAA